rnacentral:lncRNA from 1 species
UAGUUAAUAUUUAUCGUACUCGUGCAAAUGUUACGUGUCAGGUACUUCCUGAAGGACAAUCUCAGCUUAUGUAACACGUAUAAGCGAUUAGGUAUGACGCGCUUGAUAUGCGAUCUUCAUGUACGUAUAUAAUAAUGUAACGUAAACCAUCAGCAAUAUAUGGAAUCGCGUAGAUCCAGAAGAUAAUCUGGCAUCCCAGCCGUUAAAUAUACGCCUACGACUUCUUAUGUUAUACCGCAAACGGAGAAGGAUUUUCCCCCUGGCCGGUGCGAGACUCGUUUGCGAAGAUUACGCGGAGCAGGCGACAAACAGUCGUUGAGCCGGUUCGGAAGACCGGGCUUGUGACAGUGUCUCGCAGGUCCCAGGCACUCUAGGAUUGAGGAGGAAUGCGACCUUGACGCCGCAAGUUUAAAGGAUGUUUAUGUGGGGACGAGUAGACUGCCGAUGUACCUACUCCUCAAUUCCUUACUACGCGUGUUAUACACGGCUGUUACAUUUGUCCGACCCUGUAUAUCCUCCAGAAUCCGGGCUCGGUUGUAUCCUUGAGGACGAGAAAGAGCAGCUGUACCUUCUACGACGAACGAUUCGCCACACACGCUGACGUCACCGAGGAACGCGUCACGUCGCCGUCGGUCCCUUUAUUGGCCUUAUUGUGGAGUCGACGAGAAAGAGGGAAGAAAAUAAUAAGGAGCCAUGUAGGGGGAGACAAAGGUGGCGAGAUUCUCGAGGGACCGGUCCUACUGCAGGUUCGCGUCGAAGAACAUCCCUCCUGUACUCCCGCUGCCUGUGCCACGGACAUAUAUUUGGGAAGAAACUCUCUCGAGCGAGUGAGCGAGCGAGCUACGGACGGACUUGCUGACGAUGAGCCUACAAAGGAGAGUUAGUCGGACAGAGAGUCAAGAACCGCCGGACAAAGAUGCCCCUCGCUAUGCCACCUCGUCCUGUGCCUACGAAGAGACGUCGUUCCGAAAUUUCACUUUCACUUUGGUCAAGUCACUUGCAGGUUCGGCUUCGAAGCCAUCCCACGAGAGCUGAGAAAACAAAUACGGUUUACGUGGGGGACCGAAUCGUUAAAACGAAAAAGAAGACAAAAGUAGUCGGAACGUCGAAGGUUAGCAAGAAUUAAUGAAUUCUUGGUAAUGUUUUUCGUCGCCGUAUUUGCCAGACUUCGAAAACAAUUUCGAUGUACGAAUCCUCGACCUCUAUGGCAUUAAUAUGCCUAUAGGUUUAACGUGUAAAUAAUAAUCAUUAAAAGUAAAUUCUUGAGCUGGGAUGAGCGAGAAAAAUGAAUUUCUCAGUAUGAGCGCACAAGUAUGAUCGCAAGCAUCGCGCGAAAGCAUAGCUCGAAAUAGCCGAUGAAUCGAUUCUCAGCGUUCUCCAGGUAUCCGGUCCGCGGUCUGGUCGCGGUCCUUCGAGCGACCUUGGCGAAUCGCAGGAGAGUCGUAGGUUUAGCGUGUUGCGGUGCGGGUUUCGCUCGCCGACGCAACCGUAGAGCCACUAUCGGCAGGAUUGUACAUGCACACAUCCGAGAUACGCUUUAAGGAGAGAAGUCAAACGAGUUUCAGCGUGGGUAGUUUUCACCACACGACUCCAACACCACGCGCCAUUUACGGAGAGAGACGACCAGGAGAAUUUUUUAGUUGUCAAAAAUUUAGCGCCUCUCGCUUAUACGACAUUGCGAAUUUAUUCUGUCUCGUUAGGUAUCACAAAGCUUUGUAACUCUCACGCGUUCACCAAAUGGUAUUUUUAUCGGCUCUGGCGGCAACUUUUACUUUUGUAAUUCGGCCGAGUCAAGACUCCGAUCAGGUGAUUGCCAACUCAUUGUCAGCUACGGCUGCGCAGCCCACGACGAAGGCUCAGGGCCGAUUUCAUCGCUAGACA